GGAUUAGGCAUGCAAGUCGCACGAGAAAGGUUUCUUCGGAUACCGAGUAAAGUGGCGGACGGGUGAGUAAUGCAUAGACAAUCUGCCCCUGAGAUGGGGAUAACGCUUCGAAAGGAGUGCUAAUACCCAAUGUCGCCUCGAUCCUGCGGGAACGAGGUGAAAGAAGGCCUCUGACUCAAGCUUUCGCUCAGGGAGGGGUUUAUGUCCUAUUAGCUAGUUGGUGAGGUAAUAGCUCACCAAGGCUGCGAUGGGUAGCCGACCUGAGAGGGUGACCGGCCACACUGGGACUGAGACACUGCCCAGACUCCUACGGGAGGCUGCAGUCGAGAAUCUUCCGCAAUGCGCGCAAGCGUGACGGAGCGACGCCGCGUGGGCGAUGAAGGCCUUCGGGUUUUAAAGCCCUGUCAGCUAUUAUGAAUCGCGGGUGGUGAACAACCAGCCCGUCUGACGUAAGUAGCAGAGGAAGCACCGGCUAACUACGUGCCAGCAGCCGCGGUGAUACGUAGGGUGCAAACGUUGUUCGGAAUCACUGGGCAUAAAGAGCGCGUAGGCGGUCCAAUUAGUCAAGCGUGAAAGCCCUCGGCUUAACCGAGGAAUUGCAUUUGAUACUGUUGGGCUUGAGUGCAGGAGGGGAGAGCGGAAUUCCUGGUGGAGCGGUGAAAUGCGUAGAUAUCAGGAGGAACGCCAGUAGCGAAAGCGGCUCUCUGGUCUGCAACUGACGCUGAGGCGCGAAAGCUAGGGGAGCGAACGGGAUUAGAUACCCCGGUAGUCCUAGCCCUAAACGAUGGGUACUAAGUAGAGGGGGCCCCGAUGUUCUCUCUGCCGCAGCUAAUGUAUUAAGUACCCCGCCUGGGGAGUAUGGUCGCA
rnacentral:rRNA from 1 species